GUGGACGAGGCCGUCUCCGCAGGGACCCAACGCCCCUCCAAAGUAGGGGACACUCCCCACAGCCUACCGCAGCUCUGGCAGCGACGUCCACUAACUCUGUACCUCUCUCCAGUGCCACGCAUCCCGGCCCCCGUCCCCCCACCUCCUCUUUAUCCCACCCCAGCCUGACCCCUAGUCACCCACCCUAGUGUCCAGGACCUUGGGGCCCCGCUGAGAAGGGGAUGAGAGGCAGCUACUUCCUUCUUCCACCUUUGCACGAUGCCUAAGUACACGAACACGCCCAAGCACCACCCACAACGAUCUCAGUGGGUCCAGCCUCUGAGGGGCAGGGAGGGCAAUGCCGUGGAUAGAAAGACCUGCGUGUGAAUUCUUCCUCCAACAUUUAUUACCCGUGUGACCCAGGGAUCCCGGGCUCCUCCAGUCCUCAGUGUCUUCAUCUAGAAAACGGAAACACAAAAAGUAGCGAUCUCCUACGUCGCUGUGGGGACUAAGGGGGAAAAGAAAUGGAAAGCACUUGGCAGAGUCACAGACACGUGUGCUGGUUUUCCUUUCCCUCAAGGUUUGGAUCCUUUAACGGAAACACAGAGCUGGUGAUCUGCUUGGGCCGGGGAACAGUCACACCCUCCCAGGGGAAUCUGUGAUUAGGAAAUGUUACCAAACCUAGAGACAAGGCCAAGACAGAAAGUGCACGCUCAAAGUGCUGUUCAGCAGGCUUGCCCACGUGAAUGUACCACGGUGGUUUGUUAGUUGCCGUUAGCGAAGGGCACAGGCUCUUAAGAAGUUACCAGUGAACUUGUGGAUUUGUUUUACAGCAGGAAGGAACGUCGGCCCCGGGUGACCAUUUCUUGCCCCAGCUGUUUCUUCCGUAAAGAGCUACAUAAACUCCAGUCCCUCAAGUGCUCUGGGAAUCAGCUUUAUCAGCUUACGAUUCCCUCAUCAGUUAAUAAAAUUGAAUGAAAUCUU